CCUACGGGAGACAGCAGUGAGGAAUAUUGGUCAAUGGACGAGAGUCUGAACCAGCCAAGUAGCGUGAAGGAUGACUGCCCUAUGGGUUGUAAACUUCUUUUAUAUGGGAAUAAAACAGGGUAUGCAUACCCUCUUGUAUGUACCAUAUGAAUAAGGAUCGGCUAACUCCGUGCCAGCAGCCGCGGUAAUACGGAGGAUCCGAGCGUUAUCCGGAUUUAUUGGGUUUAACGGGAGCGUAGGUGGAUUGUUAAGUCAGUUGUGAAAGUUUGCGGCUCAACCGUAAAAUUGCAGUUGAAACUGGCAGGCUUGAGUACAGUAGAGGUGGGCGGAAUUCGUGGUGUAGCGGUGAAAUGCUUAGAUAUCACGAAGAACUCCGAUUGCGAAGGCAGCUCACUGGACUGCAACUGACACUGAUGCUCGAAAGUGUGGGUAUCAAACAGGAUUAGAUACCCGAGUAGUC
rnacentral:rRNA from 1 species